rnacentral:rRNA from 1 species
CUCUAAUCAGGAUCCUGAGUACGGCCCAGCACGUGAAAUUGGGUCGGAAUCUGGGAGGACCAUCUCCCAAGGCUAAAUACUAACUAGUGACCGAUAGCGAACAAGUACCGUGAGGGAAAGGUGAAAAGAACCCCGGAAGGGGAGUGAAAUAGUUCUUGAAACCGUGUGCUUACAAGAAGUUCGAGGCCGUUAAUGGCUGAGAGCGUGCUUUUUGUAGAAUGAACCGGAGAGUUACGAUUGCGUGCAAGGUUAAGGUGCAAAGACUGGAGCCGUAGCGAAAGCGAGUCUUAAUAGGGCGAAUCAGUACGUAGUUGUAGACCCGAAACCGAGUGACCUAUCCAUGGUCAGGUUGAAGGUGGGGUAAUACCUACUGGAGGACCGAACAAGUGGGUGUUAAAAAACCCUUUGAUGAACUGUGGAUAGCGGUGAAAUUCCAAUCGAACUCGGAGAUAGCUGGUUCUAUCCGAAAUACAUUUAGGUGUAGCCUUGCAAUUAGCUUACUGGAGGUAGAGCACUAUUUGGUCUAGGGGCCCUUCAAGGGUUACCAAAAUCAGAUAAACUCCGAAUGCCAGCUAAGUAUGUGCAGGAGUCAGACGGUGAGUGAUAAGAUCCAUCGUCAAAAGGGGAACAGCCCAGAUCACAAGUUAAGGUCCCUAAAUAUAUGCUAAGUGGAAAACGUUGUGAAGGUGCAUAGACAACUAGGAGGUUGGCUCAGAAGCAGCCACCCUUUAAAGAGUGCGUAAUAGCUCAC